rnacentral:tRNA from 1 species
GUCAGGAUGGCCGAGCGGUCCAAGGCGCUGCGUUCAGGUCACAGUCCAGUCUUCAGGGCGAGGGUUCGAAUCCCUCUUCUGACA